ACAGACCGGUAGGAGACCUGCUGUAAGUCUGCAGGACUCCUCUGAAACAAACCAGUGAUACAGCCAAGAGGUGCAUGAAAGUGUAGUGCAGAUCUCUCCAGAGCUGCUUGUAGGGGUUGCACCAAAACUCCAACCCUUGACCUAGUCUCACCACAAGACACAGAGCAAGAAAUGCUGCAAUGCCAGUUAUGGUACAAUUUUUACUGCCUGCUUUGCAUAGGAGGUGGACUACUCAGUUGUACAUGUAUUCAUUCCUGGGCAUCUUUGAAAUGGAGAAUGAGUCAUCUUGAUUUUAUCUGAAAAGACAACACAGGAGAAGGACUGAAGGCCAACAUACAGGCAAAACUUUGUGUUGCAAGAAUGAUGCUGCAUGUGCCAUUUAAUCCAGCCUUUUGAGAAGAGCUACCUCCCCUAUGAAUGUGCUUUUAUCAUUUGGUUGUUUAAGACCUUCCCCUUUCAUGAAAUUCAUGUGAAAAAUAAGCACACAGGAAAUGAGGAAGCAAGCAGAUGUAACACUGAGAUAGAGCUACGAGACUCUGAAAGCUUUUAAUUCAAAAGUAAGGGAUUCCCUUUUGUAAAUGCAAUAAAAACUACCAGUGACAGACACGAUCAAUAAGUGCUGCUCAAUGAUCUCCAGUUAGGAGAGAGAGGCCUCCCUCUCUCUCAGUAGUAUAGAUCAACAUUUAGGCAUUUAGCACUGUAACUAAGUAUUUUGACAAGUUGAAAGUAUCUAAAUAUAUAUGUAUUAAGACAUGUUUUCUACAUUACACACUGUACACAUUUCUCUACAUAGGCAAAAUUUUCAUGUGCUCAUACACUACUUAUCCUAACCAAACAGCCAAUAGCCUUGGUCUUACUACCAUGGUUGUCUGUACCACUCUCUCAAACACUUCAGCCUUCGGAAAUCUUUUUCAAAAAUAUGUAACUAUCACUAACUAUCAAUCUUACAUAAAAAUAUGUAACACAUUGUCAGUAACAAAAUAGCUUUUUCUAGUACAAAUGUUUUAACAAUACAAAAUGUUAAAAUACAAUGUAGUAUUACAUUACCAUAUAUUUAUAUACGUAGUACCAUUCAAAUAUGAUUCUUAGAGGUUAAAAAGACAAAUUUCUGUGAACAGUCUCAAAAAAGAUACACCACAGUAACUAAAUGUGAAUAUUUUUAAGAAACUGGAUGAUGUGUACAAGAAUCUUAAUUUCAAGCUUCCACUGGUUUAAGCAGGUCAUAAAUGUUC